CUCAAGGGGCAGAUCCUGGGCAGAAUGGAGGAACACACGGAGGCAGGCUUGGCACCAGAGCCAGGAGACCAGAGGGUCCUAAUCGACAAUCCUGCUGACAUCCUAGUCAUUGCCGCUUAUUUCCUGCUGGUCAUUGGUGUUGGUUUGUGGUCUAUGUGCAGAACCAAUAGAGGCACUGUCGGUGGCUACUUCUUGGCAGGACGAAGCAUGAUGUGGUGGCCGGUUGGGGCCUCUCUCUUCGCCAGCAACAUUGGCAGUGGCCACUUUGUGGGCCUUGCAGGGACUGGUGCUGCAAGCGGCUUGGCUGUGGCUGGAUUUGAGUGGAAUGCCCUGUUUGUGGUGCUGCUACUUGGCUGGCUCUUCGCCCCGGUGUACUUGACUGCGGGGGUCAUUACAAUGCCACAGUACCUGCGCAAGCGCUUCGGUGGCCAUCGUAUCCGCCUCUACUUGUCUAUGCUUUCACUUUUUCUGUACAUCUUCACCAAGAUCUCGGUGGACAUGUUUUCUGGGGCAGUAUUCAUUCAGCAGGCUUUGGGCUGGAAUAUCUACGCCUCUGUCAUCGCGCUCCUGCUCAUCACCAUGAUUUACACUGUGACAGGAGGGCUGGCAGCGCUGAUGUACACAGAUACUGUGCAGACCUUCGUCAUUCUCGGGGGUUCCUUCAUCCUCAUGGGUUACGCCUUCUACGAGGUGGGCGGGUAUUCGGGUCUCUUCGACAAAUACAUGGGGGCAAUGACUUCGCUGACGGUGUCGGAGGAUCCGGCCGUGGGCAACAUCUCUAGUUCCUGCUAUCGACCCCGGCCCGACUCCUACCACCUGCUUCGGGACCCUGUGACAGGGGACCUGCCAUGGCCUUCAGUGAUCCUGGGGCUUACCAUCGUCUCGGGCUGGUACUGGUGCAGCGAUCAGGUCAUAGUGCAGCGCUGCCUGGCUGGGAAGAGCCUGACUCACAUCAAGGCGGGCUGCAUCCUGUGCGGCUAUCUCAAGCUGCUGCCCAUGUUCCUCAUGGUCAUGCCAGGCAUGAUCAGCCGCAUUCUUUACCCAGAUGAAGUGGCGUGCGUGGUGCCUGAAGUGUGUAAGCGUGUGUGUGGCACUGAGGUGGGCUGCUCCAACAUUGCCUACCCACGGCUAGUAGUGAAGCUCAUGCCCAAUGGUCUUCGAGGACUCAUGCUGGCCGUCAUGUUGGCAGCACUCAUGUCCUCGCUGGCCUCAAUCUUUAAUAGCAGCAGCACUCUUUUCACCAUGGACAUCUACACACGCCUGCGGCCCAGGGCAGGAGACCGGGAGCUGCUGCUAGUAGGAAGGCUCUGGGUGGUGUGUAUCGUGGCAGUGUCAGUGGCCUGGCUACCCGUGGUGCAGGCAGCGCAGGGGGGGCAGCUCUUUGAUUACAUCCAGUCGGUUUCCAGCUACUUAGCACCGCCGGUGUUUGCUGUCUUCCUGUUGGCUCUGUUUGUGCCCCGUGUCAAUGAGAAGGGUGCCUUUUGGGGACUGAUCGGGGGCCUGCUGAUGGGCCUGGCACGCCUUAUUCCUGAAUUCUCCUUUGGCACGGGCAGCUGUGUGCGGCCCUCGGCAUGCCCAGCACUCUUCUGCAGCGUGCACUACCUCUACUUUGCCAUAGUGCUCUUCCUCUGCUCCAGCCUCCUCAUCCUCAUAGUCUCAAUGUGCACUGAACCCAUCCCUCAAAAACACGAAUACCCAGUGGGGAGGACCUGCAUUUCUCCCUACUGCGAGUUGAUGAGAGCAGACUGGGAGUCUAGCUGGAGGCUGCAUUUGCAGAGCAAGCACAUUUUAAGUAACAUUUAUUUGAAGUGGUCUUGGGAGAGGUGGCAUAAAGAUUUUGAUGAAUUGGCAAUUAAAGCCUACCAAAGCAAUCCUUGCAUGACCUUCUGGGCCUCAAAACCCAGGAUCUGACUAGUGGCUGAGAAGGGCGGAAUAUCAUCUUGAAAGCCCUCCAAAAAGGUCUGGUUUUGUGCUCCUUCAGUGCAGGGCUUAUGAUGAUGGGGUGGGUGCCUACAAAACACCUGGGCCUGGAAGAAUGGACAGGAUGCCAAAGCAGUAGGAGGAAAUUGUGUGAGCAAAUACCCAUGGAAGGAACACUGUGUCGGCAGGACUCUAAGACCAGAGUCUCAAGUACUACAGCGUGCGUGUAGACAGGAGACUUGAGCUGAUAAAGGUGGGGGACCAAUGGCUUUAAACAUCAAGGUGAGGAGCUUGGGGUUUAGCCUGAGGGCAAGGGACAAAUAUGGAAGGUAGAAUUUGUUAGAGCUGAGCCUCCUGCUAGGUGGGCAGACUGGACAGAGUGAGGUUAGUAAAAAGGCUUGUGUGCCACCAUGGACAAGACACUUUAGAGCCUGGUGUGAGGGACAGUAGCCCAUUUGGUCCCUGAUCCCUUCCCUUCCUAGCUCCACCGCCUGGUUUUCAGUCUGCGGAACAGCAAGGAAGAACGAGAGGACCUGGAUGCUGAUGAGCUGGAAGGUUCAUCACUUCCUGUACAGAAUGGGCACGAAGAGCAUGCAGUGGAGAUGGAGGAGUCACAAUCCCCAUCACCAAG